GGGCAGAAUGGGGAAAGCGUAAACCGAUCUAGGAGCAAGUAUAUAAGGAGUCCUAGGCGAGAGGCAAAGAGGGAUUCAACACACAGCAAAACUUAGCACUUAAAGCAAUUUAGACAAUUUUCUGUUUUUGUUAUUCGAGCUGCGAUUCAAUCAGGUUUAGUAGCUCUAGGGUUUUAGAACUAAGAAUCUUGCCGACAGCUCUCGUAGCGCAGACUCUUACCUUGUUGUAACGUUCAAAC
rnacentral:lncRNA from 1 species